rnacentral:snoRNA from 1 species
GUGUGGAGUGAAGAAGUAUUCCUUAUUGGUUUGAUUGCCAGAAUGAUGACAUUCUUUGUUAUUAGCUCUAUCUGAUCAAUC